rnacentral:rRNA from 1 species
GAUCCUGGCUCAGGACGAACGCUGGCGGCGUGCUUAACACAUGCAAGUCGAACGGAAAGGCCCUGCUUUUGUGGGGUGCUCGAGUGGCGAACGGGUGAGUAACACGUGAGUAACCUGCCCUUGACUUUGGGAUAACUUCAGGAAACUGGGGCUAAUACCGGAUAGGAGCUCCUGCUGCAUGGUGGGGGUUGGAAAGUUUCGGCGGUUGGGGAUGGACUCGCGGCUUAUCAGCUUGUUGGUGGGGUAGUGGCUUACCGAAGGU